rnacentral:lncRNA from 1 species
GAGAUGGAGUUUCACUCUUCUUUCCCAGGCUGGAGUGCAAUGGUGCAAUCUUGGCUUGCUGCAACUUCCACCUCCCGGGUUCCAGCGAUUCUCCUGCCUCAGCCUCCUGAGUAGCUGGGACUACAGGCUGGUGGUGACAUUAUAAGAAUGCAUUUCAGGCCGGGCAUGGUGGCUCAUACCUGUAAUCCCAGCACCUUGGGAGACCGAGGCGGGUGGAUCACUUGAGGUCAGAAGUUCGAGACCAGCCUGGCCUACACGGCGAAAACCCAUCUCUACUAAAAAUACAAAAAUUAGCCCAGUGUGGUGGCAGGUGCCUGUAAUCCCAGCUACUAAAGAGGCUGAGGCAGGAGAAUCGCUUGAACCUGGGAGGUGGAGGUUGCAGUAAGCCGAGAUCUCACCAUUGCACUCCAGCCUGGGCAACAGAGCAAGACUCCAUCUCAAAAAAAAAAAAAAAAGAAUGCAUUUAUAGACUGGGCACUGUGGUUCAUGCUUGUAAUCCCAGGACUUUGGGAGGCCAAGGCAGGUGGAUCACUUGAGAUCAGGAGUUUGAGACCAGCCUGACCAACAUGGUGAAACCCGGUCUCCACUUAAAAAAAAAAAAAAAGAAUGCAUUUCUAGGCUUGGUCAGAUUUCAAGACAUUGAGAUGUGCAUAAAAAUACUCUCUUCUCGGCUCAGUGCACCUUUUCCAAAGGUAGAGUUUUACACAGCAUCAAGACCAAGAUGCCUCCAGGACUCUGGCGUCUUUUCUUCCAUAAUACAGUCUGAGGUACCUUGAGGCAAGGAAUUCCACAGGGAAGCGAAAACUGGAUUUACUUCCUUGUUUCUGGGUUUUCUCUCCACAGUUGCCUAAGAGUGUUAAACUGUUGUAAAUGUCUUCUAGCACUUAUAAAUAAAGCUACUCUUUGGAUUUCCUCCAUCUGACAAGCUCCAGAAUAGAGCUGUGGGCAAGGACACCACUAUUGCUCUCCAGCUAACCCAUGUCCAUACCUUUGACAUUAGACUCAUACCUGUAUUUUUAGUUUUGAGCGAUUUUCUCCACUUGGAGGCAAAGGGGAGAUAUAGCACAAGGAAAAGGAAGUCAGAUUCCAGGCCUGAGUAAGAUUUGACACACCGCUGCUGGCUUCAGAAUACAGAGGCCCAUGUGCAAAGACCAGAAUGAUGUCUCUGGGAGAAAAGACAGGCCCUAGGCUUACAACAAGCAAGGAGAUGGAGACCUCAGUACUACAACAGCAGGGAACAGGAUUCUACCUACCAAUGAAUGAGCUUGGAAAUGGAGUCUUCCCAGAGCUUCCCAAUAAGAGCUCAGCCACACCUUGAUUUCCAAGAAACCCAGAGCAGAGAAACCAGCUGAGCCAACAUAGGCUUCUGACCUACAAAACUGAGGCAUGAUGUCUGAAGGCACAGCACCAAUCUUCUGAUCAUGAACUAUUAAGCAUGAGGAUAAAGGGCUAACAAGGUAGAUGCCUUCACAUCUCUAAUUUUGUCAAGUCCCAUAAAGCUCUAUGCUGAAGCUGAGACAUCAUCACUUAUGACACAGAUUUCAGCCCAAAGCAUGCACUUCAAGGAGGACACAAUAAGAUUAACAAGUUAUAUGCAAUCAUAUGGGGUACAGGAUCCCCCAAAUGAUUCUUCUUACAUUUUGCUCCAAAUAGCUUUUAAUUAACAAUUAUUUUACUGUCUUAGUUCUCAUUUAGGUAAAACAUCAGAGCACAAAAGUAUCAUUAGUUAUUAUUGUAAAUUAAUUAUUCAACCAAAAGUGUUAAGUAUACAGUAUUCUUCUUCUUCUUCC